rnacentral:lncRNA from 10 species
GUUUUGGCACCCAUCGAGUGGAAGUUUGCUCACCUUUAAUUUUUUCAGUCAGAAUUGUGUAAGCUGGGCUGUUGUCUAUUCUUUCUGCUGAUAAUUGUCAGUCCUCUUUAAUUAGGGCAUGAACAAGAUGAACUUUUUUCCUCAUGAAUUGAUGUGGAUGGUCUGUCCCUGUGGGUUUCAUCUUUAACAUUGUCUCAUCACUUUUUAACAUUAGUUAUCCAUUUGUAAACUGCUGAUUUAUUUGGGGUACUAUCCUCGAAGGCUUUUUAUAAAGCAUCAGUGAUUUUCACCAUUCUUUCACCCAAGCUUCACCUAAAUUUGAUGUUUGUUCAUGCUUCAAUCUUAGCAGAAUUCAUAUUGCCUUGAUAGGGACACUUUUCAAACUGAUGUCUUAACCCUCUUAAUGCCUCAAACUAAAUCCUGUUCAGACAUGUUAUAACAAGUUAGUAUAAUUUUUUUUGGUGCAAGAGAAAUUGAAAUUCAUACAUAGUUUUUUCAUAGUAUGCAUUUUUCGUGAACUUUUUGAAGACCCCUCGUACAUGGUGAUUGAAGAGUUGCAGGAAGAGUUCACAUGGUGACAAUAAAACAGUGAAAACACCAACACUUAAAGGAUCGGCAGAAGGAAAAUUUAAAAAUUGAAUGAUAAUGGGGUAGAGAAGAACCGAGAGAGAAUUAAUGAAGGUUCUCAUCAGAGAAUUACCGAAAGUCAACUCUGAGCAGUUACCAAUGGAUAGUUUUAAGCAAAUCAUAUAUCAGAGAAAUAAUGUAAUAGGCAUUUUAAUUAGCCAUUCUCCUGGAUUCCCUAAACUUAGUCCCUGCAUUAAGAAAGAUCAUUAGGAAAUAAUAUUCCUGAACCCAUUUCAUUUCCCUGAAGAAAUAUCUUCCCUGAGUAAUGCCUUAAAGUUUUCUUCUGCAACUUUUAUAAACAACAGAUAUAUAAAACUCCACUUUGAACAAAAUGGAUGUGCCCUGUGCAAAAUCCCAAUUGAAAACUUCACAGGAUCUGUUACCCUAUAUCUCUUAAAGAGUCGCAUAGUUGAUGCCUCUUUGAAUUCGUACCACUGAAGUAUGUCACUGCAGAUGAGCUUGUAUGAUUUCUAUUAGUAGGCAGCAUGAAGUCAUCAUGUCUUCCAUUUUGCCCAACGUACCAGAACACCCA